AGAGUCCUUCGAAUGGCGUUUCUGGGACCGGUCACCGAAGCCCCACGCAGGUCCUGCGCCCCCGGACCAGUCCUCCGAAUGGCAUUCCUGGGACCGGUCACUGAAGCCCCACGCAGGUCCUGCGCCCCCAGUACCAGAGUUCUACCCAAUGGCUUUCAUGGGACCGGUCACCGAAGCACUGCGGCCUGCGGAAUAGAGAAAUGCGGAGUCGUUAGACGGGCGCUCA